UUCCGUAGGUGAACCUGCGGAAGGAUCAUUACAGAAUGAAAAGUGCUUAACUGCAUUUUUUCUUACACAUGUGUUUUUCUUUUUUUGAAAACUUUGCUUUGGUAGGCCUUCUAUAUGGGGCCUGCCAGAGAUUAAACUCAACCAAAUUUUAUUUAAUGUCAACCGAUUAUUUAAUAGUCAAAACUUUCAACAACGGAUCUCUUGGUUCUCGCAUCGAUGAAGAACGCAGCGAAAUGCGAUAAGUAAUAUGAAUUGCAGAUAUUCGUGAAUCAUCGAAUCUUUGAACGCACAUUGCGCCCUUUGGUAUUCCAAAGGGCAUGCCUGUUUGAGCGUCAUUUCUCCCUCAAACCCUCGGGUUUGGUGUUGAGCGAUACGCUGGGUUUGCUUGAAAGAAAGGCGGAGUAUAAACUAAUGGAUAGGUUUUUUCCACUCAUUGGUACAAACUCCAAAACUUCUUCCAAAUUCGACCUCAAAUCAGGUAGGACUACCCGCUGAACUUAAGCAUAUCAAUAAGCGGAG
rnacentral:rRNA from 1 species